UACGAAGGGGGCUAGCGUUGUUCGGAAUCACUGGGCGUAAAGCGUGUGUAGGCGGCCAGGCAAGUCGGGUGUGAAAGCCCCGGGCUCAACCCGGGAAGUGCACUCGAUACUGCUUGGCUCGAGUAUCGGAGAGGUUGGUGGAAUUCUCGGUGUAGAGGUGAAAUUCGUAGAUAUCGAGAGGAACACCGGUGGCGAAGGCGGCCAACUGGACGAAUACUGACGCUGAGACACGAAAGCGUGGGGAGCAAACAGG
rnacentral:rRNA from 1 species